rnacentral:misc_RNA from 1 species
GGAGAAUUCGUUUCGCUUGCACUUUGAUAUAUAAAUAUAAUCACUAACCUCUUCAUUUUCGCUGACACAUUCUCUAUUCUCCAUUCUUCACAUGUACACUUAACAAGCACAAAUUUUACCAUUCAUUUAACAAAUUUUACCAUUCAUUUAAUGAAAAUGGGGGAGGGAGCAAGAUUUGGAUGAAUAAUCACACCUCUAAUUGACACACUUUGCACUUGUUUACCACUAAUAAAGCAACACCCUUCAACCCAAAACCAUUCCCAUCUACCCUUCUCUCUAUCUUCUCUCCAAACUACCAUUCCUGACCCAAGGUCCCUGUACAAACAAAUUGCCCCAUCACCGCCCACACAUUUUGUGCCUUCCCAACUUGCAUUACCCUUCUUAAGUUUCAAUCCCAAUUCAAUAGGUGCCUUCUCAAUUAAACACCAAAUUUCUCCUUCAUUUAGCUCCCAUAUACAGGCAUCACCACUGCAGGUUCCACCCACAAGUGUCAACCUCCCAUUGCGCUGCACCAAUGCGGCAAACUCAAGCUUAUCUGCCAUGGGUACUCUCAAUUCUUGCCAUUUGUUGUACCCAAUCUCAUAGCACAUCACACUAUAGGCUCUUGCCGAAGUCAUCCAAUAGAGGACCCCAUUAGUGUAGACGCUCUCAAUUGGGGUCCAAACUGUUAGCCUUACUGAGAAUUCCACUGGCAUAGGUCCCACAAUUUGCCAUGUGUCGAGCUUUGAAUCGUACAUUUCCAACGUGGCUUCAUAUGUGGCACCGCCACAUGGAGCGUCGGAUAUUCCACCAGCCACGUAGACUCUGAAAUGUGGGGAUGGGCUAUGCUGGCUUGAGCUCAGAACUACAACACCGACUGCUGGAUUAGUCCUAGCAAUGUUCAACAUUGGGAGGUGUCUAAAUUGCCCAGUGAAAGGAUUACACAUACCCAAAAUGAGAAUUGUAGAAUUUGUGGCUCUUAGAAGGAUUAGGCUACCAAUUGAGGCAAUGGAUCGGAUUGGAUUGGGCAAAACCUCAAGAGAUAGCACAUGCCAUUUCUUGGCAAACGGAUUAUGAACGUAGCAACAUGGCUCACGGUUUCUUGUAGGAAGAGCUACAAACCAUGGUGGGUGGUGGUUGUGGAGCAUGGAAGGAGUUAGGCUUGUUGGGUAUGCAUCGGCACACGUGCGCCAAUGGUGGCAGACGGACCUAGUACGUGCCAAGGAGUCAGGGGAGAGGAAGGAGAAUAUCUUAGCUAGGAGAUCAAAGGGGAUAUUGCUCCACAUUUUCAAGAACAAGAAAAAUGGGGUAAAGGUUUUUCAAGAUUAAGUAUAUAUAUAUAUAUCUAUAGUAGAAUGAUAAUUCAUGUGGUCCAAAAUGUAAUUAUUGGAAAUGAAUAAUUGAGUAAUAUAAGCAUAGGGAUGUGUGAGCCCACAUGAACCACUUGCUCAGAGUUACAUGUGAGCCUUUCAAUUUUUAAAUCUUAUGAAUU